UACGUAGGGGGCAAGCGUUGUCCGGAUUUAUUGGGCGUAAAGAGCGUGUAGGCGGCCAGAUAGGUCCGUUGUGAAAACUGGAGGCUUAACCUCCAGCGGUCGAUGGAAACCAUCUGGCUAGAGUCCGGAAGAGGAGAGUGGAAUUCCUGGUGUAGCGGUGAAAUGCGUAGAUAUCUGCAGGAACACCCGUGGCGAAAGCGGCGCGCUGGACCACUACUGACGCUGAGGAACGAAAGCUAGGGGAGCAAACAGG
rnacentral:rRNA from 1 species